rnacentral:rRNA from 1 species
CCCUUAGAUGUCCUGGGCCGCACGCGCGUUACACUGAUGCAUUCAACGAGCUUAUAACCUUGGCCGAGAGGCCUGGGCAAUCUUGUUAACGUGCAUCGUGAUAGGGAUAGAUUAUUGAAAUUAUUAAUCUUGAACGAGGAAUUCCUAGUAAACGCAGAUCAUCAAUCUGCAUUGAUUACGUCCCUGCCCUUGUACACACCGCCCGUCGCACCUACCGAUUGGAUGGUCCGGUGAAGCCUCGGGAUUGUGGUUCUUGCCGCUUUAUUGUAGCGUGACCGCGAGAACUUGUCUAAACCUUAUCAUCUAGAGGAAGGUGAAGUCGUAACA